AUGAUGAUGCCCACGGGCGGCGAGUCCAGGUCCCCCGUGCGCGCGCUGCGGCGGCUGGCCGGCUCCCUCCUCGCCGCCGCGCGCCUCCGCGGCUCCUUCAGCGCAUCCAAGUGCAAGACGGAGGCGCGGAUGGCGGCGGCGCGGAUGAAGCUGCUGCGGAACCGCCGCGAGGCGCAGGUGCGCAAGAUGCGCGGGGACGUCGCCGCGCUGCUCCGCGACGGCCGCGAGGACACCGCCCGCAUCAGGGUUGAGCAUGUAAUUAGAGAACAAAACACUAUGGCGGCAAAUGAGAUUAUUGAACUUUUCUGCGAACUGAUUGUUACACGGCUUCCCAUCAUUGCCAAGCAGAAGGAAUGCCCAGCAGACCUGAAAGAAGGUAUCUGCAGUUUGAUAUUUGCAGCCCCAAGGUGCUCUGAACUCCCUGAACUCACUCGCAUGCGGGACCUUUUUGAAAAGAAGUAUGGGAAAGAUUUCGUUGCUGCUGCAGUUGACCUGCGCCCAAAUGCUGGUGUUAAUAACCUUCUAAUUGAGAAGCUGUCAGUCAAUAAGCCGUCCGGGCAAACUAAGCUGAAAGUUCUCAAGGAUAUAGCAAAGGAGCAUCAAAUCGAUUGGGACCCGAGCGAGGCUGAGCAGGAUCUUCUUAAACCUGCUGAAGAGCUGAUUCAAGGACCUAGUUCAUUUGGUGAAGCUUCGAAAAUGCCUGUGAAGACUACGCUAUCAGCAAAUUUUGUGCAACCCACUCCAUCUAAUUACAGUUCUGGAUACGCUGAUGAGUAUGAUGAUAAUCAUGUUGGGGGUGCCAUGCAAUUCAAGGAUGCAGCUUCAGCUGCUCGAGCAGCUGCAGAGUCUGCUGCGCAAGCAGCGUCUGCCGCUAAGGCUGCAGCCAGCCUUGCCAACCAGAACGCCCAUUCGUCCGACGAAGACGAUGACGAUGACGAGGACUGGAAGACCACUCUUCACGAGUCCACUCAUUCUAGCAGGCGCCAAUCGAUGAUGAGCAACUCAAGCAGAACCUCCAGGAAAGAGAAUGCAUCCACCUUCGACGAAAUGAGGCUCCGAGGAAGCACAGGGAGGAGGUUAAGCGGGUCGAACCACAUGGAAGAUAAAGACUCAGACCUGCUUCAGGAUCUGGGUACUGGCAGGACGCGCAGAAGGAACAGCCGUGCUGCUAGCAAGGUGCACUCGGAGAUAAAGUUUGAUGAUUCGGAGGCGGAGGACGGCAGCGACGCCGAGAUACAGUCCUCCCUUGAGAGGCGGCCUCCACGGAAGGAACGUUACCCAGGAAACGGUCACCACGAAGAGAAGGAAGUAGAAGACGACGAUGAUGACUUCCCUGAGCCGCCGAAGGCGAACCCCGGCUCCUGCGUUCAUCCGAACAUGCCCCUGGACUUUGAGACCCUGACGGCGCGCUUCGAGGCGCUGAGGUCAUCCGGGGGGAAGCUCCCUUAG
rnacentral:rRNA from 1 species